GCUGUUGAUGCAUUUGACUCACCCCUUACCCCUAGGCCUUCCCACGGCCGUGCUGGUGGAUAAAUGCGGCGCGGGGGACGACGCCUAAUCGCCGCCUCGCGUGUGCCGCGGCACGCCCGCCACUUGCUCAAUGCUCAUCCUCGCUCCUCGGCCCCGCGCCCAUUUCGGUUCGCCACCUGCUCAUCUCUAUUCUGCCCUGCGUCCGGUCUUCAUAUCACGUCAGAAAAAAAUGGAAUAGAAUUUUACCAAGAACAGACUUGAUCAGAAAAACUGGUAACAUGAAUUUCGAGGCUUAUAAGAGCGUUACUUCUUGAAGGGUAUUAGGACUGACCUUGUGAUGACUGCUUGAGUCUUCAACAUUGUUCUGUAUGGAUGAUUCUACAGAAGGUUCAGAAGUGAAGUCUGGUCCUUUGUUUUCUCCUAUCUCUUCAAUUUCUCUAGGAUUUAUACUUGUAUUGUCAUGGAUUAUUUCUUCGCAUAGAGAUGUUGUAUCAUCAAUUUUAGCAUCCACAUUGUAUGGUUCAUUGGAAUGCGGUUGAGGUGACUCUUCCUUUUCAGAAUUUGUCUGUAAUUUAUCAUGACAAAUAGCAUUGUCUUCAUGUAUUUCUUUACUUUCUUCUA